rnacentral:rRNA from 1 species
ACGAACGCUGGCGGCGUGGAUAAGACAUGCAAGUCGAACGAGAGAAUUGCUAGCUUGCUAAUAAUUCUCUAGUGGCGCACGGGUGAGUAACACGUGAGUAACCUGCCCCCGAGAGCGGGAUAGCCCUGGGAAACUGGGAUUAAUACCGCAUAGUAUCGAAAGAUUAAAGCAGCAAUGCGCUUGGGGAUGGGCUCGCGGCCUAUUAGUUAGUUGGUGAGGUAACGGCUCACCAAGGCGAUGACGGGUAGCCGGUCUGAGAGGAUGUCCGGCCACACUGGAACUGAGACACGGUCCAGACACCUACGGGUGGCAGCAGUCGAGAAUCAUUCACAAUGGGGGAAACCCUGAUGGUGUGACGCCGCGUGGGGGAAUGAAGGUCUUCGGAUUGUAAACCCCUGUCAUGUGGGAGCAAAUUAAAAAGAUAGUACCACAAGAGGAAGAGACGGCUAACUCUGUGCCAGCAGCCGCGGUAAUACAGAGGUCUCAAGCGUUGUUCGGAAUCACUGGGCGUAAAGCGUGCGUAGGCUGUUUCGUAAGUCGUGUGUGAAAGGCGCGGGCUCAACCCGCGGACGGCACAUGAUACUGCGAGACUAGAGUAAUGGAGGGGGAACCGGAAUUCUCGGUGUAGCAGUGAAAUGCGUAGAUAUCGAGAGGAACACUCGUGGCGAAGGCGGGUUCCUGGACAUUAACUGACGCUGAGGCACGAAGGCCAGGGGAGCGAAAGGGAUUAGAUACCCCUGUAGUCCUGGCAGUAAACGGUGCACGCUUGGUGUGCGGGGAAUCGACCCCCUGCGUGCCGGAGCUAACGCGUUAAGCGUGCCGCCUGGGGAGUACGGUCGCAAGAUUAAAACUCAAAGAAAUUGACGGGGACCCGCACAAGCGGUGGAGUAUGUGGCUUAAUUCGAUGCAACGCGAAGAACCUUACCUGGGCUUGAAAGUUACUGACGAUUCUGGAAACAGGAUUUCCCUUCGGGGCAGGAAACUAGGUGCUGCAUGGUUGUCGUCAGCUCGUGUCGUGAGAUGUUUGGUUAAGUCCAGCAACGAGCGCAACCCCUGUUGCCAGUUACCAGCACGUGAAGGUGGGGACUCUGGCGAGACUGCCCAGAUCAACUGGGAGGAAGGUGGGGACGACGUCAGGUCAGUAUGGCCCUUAUGCCCAGGGCUGCACACGUACUACAAUGCCCAGUACAGAGGGGGCCGAAGCCGCGAGGCGGAGGAAAUCCUGAAAACUGGGCCCAGUUCGGACUGUAGGCUGCAACCCGCCUACACGAAGCCGGAAUCGCUAGUAAUGGCGCAUCAGCUACGGCGCCGUGAAUACGUUCCCGGGUCUUGUACACACCGCCCGUCACAUCAUGGAAGCCGGUCGCACCCGAAGUAUCUGAAGCCAACCGCAAGGAGGCAGGGUCCUAAGGUGAGACUGGUAACUGGGAUG